rnacentral:rRNA from 1 species
GACGAACGCUGGCGGCGUGCUUAACACAUGCAAGUCGAACGGAAAGGCCCUGCUUUGGUGGGGUGCUCGAGUGGCGAACGGGUGAGUAACACGUGAGUAACCUGCCAUUGACUUUGGGGUAACUUCAUGAAACUUGGGCUAAUACCGGAAAGGAGCUCCUGCUGCAUGGUGGGGGUUGGAAAGUUUCGGCGGUUGGGGAUGGACUCGCGGCUUAUCAGCUUGUUGGAGGGGUAGUGGCUUACCAAGGCUUUGACGCGUGGCCGGGCUGGGAGGGUGACCGGCCCCACUGGGCCUGAGCUGCGGCACAGACUCCUACGGUACGCAGAGGUGCGGAGUAGUGCACAGUGGGCGGAGCCCUGGUCCAGCCACGCAGCGCGGCGGAAGACGGCCUGCGGGUUGUAAACCGCUUCCGCCUUUGCCGAAGCGUGAGUGACGGUACUGGGUAAAGAAGCACCGGCUAACUACGUG